rnacentral:rRNA from 1 species
UGGCGGACGGGUGAGUAACGCGUGGGUAACCUGCCUUAUACAGGGGAGUAACAAACAAAAUAGGUUGCUAAUACCGCAUAAGCGCACAGGACCGCAUGGUCCGGUGUGAAAAACUCCGGUGGUAUAAGAUGGACCCGCGUUGGAUUAGCUAGUUGGCAGGGUAACGGCCUACCAAGGCGACGAUCCAUAGCCGGCCUGAGAGGGUGAACGGCCACAUUGGGACUGAGACACGGCCCAG